rnacentral:rRNA from 1 species
UACGUAGGGGGCGAGCGUUGUCCGGAAUUACUGGGCGUAAAGAGAGCGUAGGCGGCACUACAAGUCUCAUGUGAAAUACCCGGGCUUAACUUGGGGGUUGCAUGGGAAACUGUAGAGCUUGAGUACAGGAGAGGCAAGCGGAAUCCCUAGUGUAGCGGUGAAAUGCAUAGAUAUUAGGAGGAACACCAGUGGCGAAGGCGGCUUGCUGGACUGAAACUGACGCUGAGGCUCGAAAGCGUGGGGAGCAAACAGG